AAGACUAUACUUUCAGGGAUCAUUUCUUUAGUUGUUGAUUUGAGGAAUGUGUUUCUAAAGAGUUUGGUCUUGUUGUCCACGAUGAAGAGUUCAGAUGUUUCCAUCAGAGUAGAAAACUGGUGGUUUGGCUUUAUUUGUUAUUCACUGUUGAUGAUUGUUCAGAGUUUCUCAAAGACUCUCUAAUGGAGGAAAUGUGAUCUGAGUGUA